rnacentral:rRNA from 1 species
UACGGGGGGAGCAAGCGUUGUUCGGAUUUACUGGGCGUAAAGGGCGCGUAGGCGGUCAGCACAAGUCAGUUGUGAAAUCUCCGGGCUUAACUCGGAAAGGUCAACUGAUACUGUGCGACUAGAGUGCGGAAGGGGCAACUGGAAUUCUCGGUGUAGCGGUGAAAUGCGUAGAUAUCGAGAGGAACACCAGUGGCGAAGGCGGCUCACUGGCCCGAUACUGACGCUGAGGCACGAAAGCGUGGGGAGCAAACAGG